GAUGAACGCUGGCGGCGUGCCUAAUACAUGCAAGUCGAGCGAAUGGAUUAAGAGCUUGCUCUUAUGAAGUUAGCGGCGGACGGGUGAGUGACACGUGGGUAACCUGCCCAUAAGACUAGGAUAACUCCGGGACACCGGGGCUAAUACCGGAUAUCAUUUUGAACCGCAUGGUUCGAAAUUGAAAGGCGGUAUCGGCUGUCACUUAUGGAUGGAGCCGCGUCGCAUUAGCUAGUUGUUGGGGUAACGGCUCCCCAAGGCCACGAUGGGUAGCCGACCUGAGAGGGUGAUCGGCCACACUGGGACUGAGACACGGACCAGACUCCUAAGGGAAGCAGCAGUAGGGAAACUUCCGCAAUGGACGAAAGUCUGACGGAGCAACGCCGCGUGAGUGAUGAAGGCUUUCGGGUCGUAAAACUCUGUUGUUAGGGAAGAACAAGUGCUAGUUGAAUAAGCUGGCAACUUGACGGUACCGAACAAGAAAGCCACGGCUAACUACGUGCCAGCCGCCGCGGUAA
rnacentral:rRNA from 1 species